UGUCUAUAAAUACCCUGCUUCUAAGUGCAAGAUGCAUAGACCAAACGGGACAUGCCAAAAAAACAGAACAACAACGGAUUAGCGGAACCGUUGUUGUUGUUGCUUGUUGUUUUUCUGGAAGGCACGCGCCUUUUUUCGUCUUUUUCACUUGCGUUUACUUAAGUGAAGGAGUUAGAAGUGACAGAAAUCUACGAGCAAUUAACUUUGUCAAAUUCAAUAGUGUCUUAAAAUUGAAAUAGAAACAAUUCCCAGACAAGGCUGAUGGUAAAAAUGGAUGGCUAAGUCAAUCCAUUUUAAGCAUAUUAUCCGAGGAACUUGUUCUGUCCCACAACUUGGAGGGGGCCAAAACAAGAAGAAGCUCAAAGUCUACCCAAAUUUCGUCCGCGCUUUGUUAAAUUCAAUCGCUCUGGUGGAGCCCUCGGAGCCUCCCGAAAAGGCACUGCAAAAAGCAAUGAGGUGCGUGAAAAACCAGAUGCUGAAGAACCGACGACUCCGAUAUCACCGGG